rnacentral:lncRNA from 10 species
ACUCACCGAGGUUGACGACCUUGAGCGCCGUGAAGAAGCGGUUCUGCCGGGCCAGGUCCUGCCAGGGAGCCUUGGAGCAGUGGCGUGGGUUCUCACUAUGUUGCUUAAGCUGGUCCAGAACUCAAGCCAGUCUCUCACUUCAGCCUCUUGAGUCGUUGGGAUUACAGAAGCCACCAUGUCCAACUGAAAGAGAUCAAGGGGAUUCUUGUGAGCAAGGUUCUUCCUGGUACCUGAUUGGGCAACUGGAUGAAGAAGAGGGAAAGGAAAAAGCUGCCUGAGCCCCCCAAGACAUCAGGUGCCCUCCUUAUGGUGACUGCAGAGAUCCUGGGAAGAGUCAAAGGUUAUUCAAAUCCAGACUGGACCCAAAGGGGUUCACAGAGAGGCAGGAGACCGCUUGGAAAAGCACCUAACAGGAAGCCAGAGUAGGUCCUCUGAAGGUGUUUGUUCAAUGAACUUGUCAUCCUCCUCAACUUAAAGCCUUUAGCUUUUCCAAUUUGGAGGCACAAAUAAGUGAGAACUUGGGGAUCCACUGAGGUCUGAGGCACGGUGGUACCAGAGGAGAUGAAGGGGCUUUCAGCAUGAAGCUGGUCCCCUGUCGACAGCACGCUGAUUUUCCCGUUGGGCUCUAUCAGCAUGUCCACUGUGAGACCAUGCUUGUGAAAAUACCAGGACGGUAAAUUAGUGAAUUCCAAAGUCAGGAUUUUUGUUGGAUCUGGCACAGUCACAGGAAAGUCUGAGUUUUCUCAAGGGCAUCCCUGUCUCACCGAGGGGCACCAAGGACAGACGACCAGAAGCAAAUGGCGCAGUCACCGUCAGAGGAGAGUAAAACUCAUUCUGAAACGGUUCCAAAUGCCCAUGCCUGCUCUGUGGUUUUCAGCAAAGCGGACCUUUCCAAAAGACCUCCAACAGGGACUUCCUGGAUGUGAGAACACUAACCAAUUCUCGUUCCUCUCAUCUUUUGCUUUAUUCCUUCCUUCCAUGCUGUUAUUGCGAAAAACUGGUAGUUAAAUUCAAUUGAUUCAAAAUAUUCGGGAUCCAUAUGGCCGCCAACCCUGGAGCUGAAGCGGCGAUAGCGCCUCACUGCUGUUUUCAAGCAUUUGCCUCUCCUCCAGUCCCCAGAUGGUGGGAGUAACAUUUAAACCUCCUUUUCUCUGCCUUGUACAAUAGACCUUGGCACCAUUUCAACUGUUUACUCCGGUAAUUAACAGCUCUGAUACCACAACAAUUACAACUCCUACACUCUCACCACAAUAAUGCUAUGAAUUAGUGAGAGCUAAUGGCUGGAAGGUAGAGUGUUUCCAGACUGUGGGAUCUGUGCAUUUUUAGAAUAAAAUAAAAGGUACAAACAGCACGCUUGCAGUAGACAAUGAUUACCUAGUAAUUAGUUUACACAAAGCUUCCUAUUUAAUGGCAAAACGCUGUAAUUAACGUGUGACAGAAAAUCAAAGGGUACUUUGUAAGCAUAUUAAAAAUUAACACUGCAGGCCCAUAGCUUUAUGUACUGAUUAGAAGCAUAUUAAAUCAAUAGGACACACAAACCAACAGCUUGGGUAGCUGAUUAUUAUAGGUCCUCAGAAGGGGUACCCUGGCUUUCAUUUCACUUGGGGAGGCAAUUUUCCUUCUCCUGUCAUCUUCCUCAGGCACAGAGAAACACCUCAAACUCAACCCUGGCAGCUUCAUGAAAAUAACCACUGAACUGGAAGAAAACAUUCUAAGUCAUUCUCAGAGAUGAAGACAAAUAUGUAAAUGAUUAAGACUUUCCAAUGAUUGUGGUGACGUGCUGCUACACUAAUUAGAAAAUACACCAACUGGAACCAGAAAAUAAAGCCACUGGGUUGCAAUCUUCCGGUCAGAAUAAUCUCUACUUUGUCAAGCCUCUUUAUUCAACUCAUAGAAAGUUCAAAUAAAUGGAACUGUUUUAUAUUUCUAAAUGAUAAGAAAGCAGGCUGCUAUGAAGACUUAUUCUUUCCAAGGCACUGUCUGGGUAAAGCAUAGGCUGGGAACAACUGGAUCAACCAACAUUCUGUAUCUUCAACAGCCACAACCCCAUAUAAUGAUGGCUGAUGGACAUAGACAGCAAUAUCCUGGAAGCCUACCAGAGCCUAAAGAACCUUCUGAAUCACCAAAGAAAGAUUAAGUUGUAUGUACUUGUUCAAUGUUACCUGUAUUUUGUUAUAAUACAAUUUUAUGGUAAUAAUAACAACAAUAAUAAUAGGUAGCAUUUCUUAAAGUCUUAUUAUGUGCUAAGCACACUGCUAGCCAAUUCAUAGAAUUAUCUCAUUUACUUGUCACCACUUCCCCAUGAGACAGGUACUAAUCUCUCUUUACAGAUAGAGAAAGGGAGACUUGGAGAGCUGAAGUAAUUUGCCUAUAGUUAUCCCCCAGGGAGCAUGGGAGUCUAACCUAGGUGUCCCUGGCUAUGGAACCCCAGGAAGCCAAACUACCUCUUAGUUACCCUGAAUGACUAGCCUGUUCCAACACUCAUUCUGCUUAAAAGGCAGUUUACUAUGUCAACCUGGAAUAGGAGACUAAAAAAAUUAAAACAAAAACAAAAUAUUUGGUUGCUUAUUUUUUUAAAAAACAGGGUGUUUCUGCUUUUAGAGAUAGGAGUCUUGUUCUGUCACCCAGGCUGGAGAGUGGUGGUGCAGUCAUGACUCAUUGCAGCCUCAAACUCCUGGGCUCGAGUGAUCCUCUUUCUUCAGGCUCCUAAGUAGCUGGAACUACAGGCACACACCUAAUUUUUAAAUUUUUUGUAGAGAUAGGGUCUCACUAUAUUGCCCAGGCUGGUCUUGAACUCCUGGCCUCAAGCCAACUCCCACCUCAGCCUUCCAAAGUGUUGGGAUUACAAAAUAUUACAGGAGUGAUCGACUGCACUGGGCUAAAAACAAGGGUUUUAAAUGCUUACCAUAUUUUUAAUGCUACAUCUGAUUGUGAAGGUGGGCUACUCAAAGCUUUUUGGGAAUUUACAGGCUCACUAAAAUGAUCACGAUAGUGUAUUAAAUUGAGAAAGGCAUUGAAAAUCUGUCAUUCCCAUGAACAACCAAAGGGUGAUGUCUAAAAUUCUCUCUCAUCACCCAUGCACAUAACCAGGUAUAUGAGGCAGUUGGGUUGCAAGAGCUGAAUCCUAGAAACUCCUAGGCAGGGCUCCUCCUCUCCAGCUCUGAGGUGUGUGUAUUGAUGGCCCCCUACACCUCCCAGUUUGCUGCCUUGUGGGAAAAGGAGACCAGCUCUUCUGUUAUCUAGGAAAGGGAAGAAAUUUGAGAGCAGUGGCCUCUGUGUUCCAGGAAUAUUUGCGUUUCCCACAAAUCUCUGGAAAGCAGAAAGCUUGCCACAAGGGCAGCACACGGUAUGAGUCACAAAGGCAAGGACCUGAGGGAGAACACUUCCCAGGACUUUCAAAUAAGGUCUUUCCUAAAUGUACUUGGCUCAGUGUGGCAAAAGCACUGGGCUAGCAGCAGUCAGAUGUGGGUUCAAAGCAAGGCACAAUCAUUUAUUAGCUAUAAAUUUGGGCAAGUCACUUCUUGAGAAUAAGUUUCUUCAUCUGUAAACAGAAGUAAUACCUUCCUUAUAUCUUAAAUUGGUGUGGAAGUAAAUGAGUAAAAACCUCAGGGUUUUUCUGAGUUUAAAUGAGACAAUUCAUGUAACGUGCUUAGCACAAUACCUGGUACCCAGUAGGUACUCUGCAGUAUUUAUUGAUGAUGAUGAUGAUGAUGAUGAUGAUGAUGAUGAUGACAAAGAAAUACAAGGAAAUGUCAACACCUUAACAGUGCAUUCAUAGAUCUACAAAAUGCUUAAUCUCAGUGUUCUGGCAACCACUAAAUACAUAAAGAUAAUCUAAGACAUCAAGAUUUCAACAUAUAAAAAUAAAUAUAAAAACAAGUGAACAAUAAUCAUUUAUAUGUAGUUUCAUGACUGGAAAAAAUAAUAACCUAGAUUUUUUCUUAACCUAGAAAAUCUAGAUUAAAAAAUAAAGAUCUUGCAUUUUUGAUAUAAAACACAAAUAAUAAGGACAUGAAAAAAGAAUAUCCCUUGCUAGUAAUCAAAUAAUAGCAAUGAGAAGCUGGAUUCUUAUAUCUAAAAUAAAAGUGCAAAUAGUUCAUAAUAUCCAUUGGUGGUAAGGUUGUGGUAAAACUAGUAUUCUUAUUCUCUGCCAGUUGCUUUGGAAAUUGGUACUAUCUUUUUAGGAAUAUGGCAAUAUGUAACAAAAGCCAUAAAAUAUUCUACUCCUGGGUCUUUCUCCUCGGGAAGUAACUCAACAGAAGCAAAAAGAGGUGUAUACAAAAACCAAAUAUAAAAACAAACAAAUCUUUCCUCCCUCUUUCCUCCCACUGCCAAAAAAUGAAAGCUGGGAAUAGCCUAAAUUUCCAACUUAGUUGAAUUGUUCAAUAUAUUAGAGUUCAUCAAUAUGAGAGAAUAUUAUGCAUCUAAUAAUUGUGACGACUAUGUAUAAACAUGGAAAAUAUUUAAGAUCUGAUGUUUAACUAGCAUAUACACUAUUAUUGUAGCUAUGAGAAAGAAAUACUGCAUAUUUAGAAAUUAAUAUACAAAAAUGAAAACAACUAUGUUUGGGGACAGUGAUUAUGUACUUUUAAAUUUUUUUUAAUCUUGUUAUCUUUAAACUUUUCUAAAAAUGAUGUGAUUACAAGCAAUGGCUCUUUGGGAUCACCUAAUAAAUACCUACUAAAUUCUAGACGGGACAACGAGCUCUGCCAUCCUGCAAUGGCUCCUGUGACCUAGUUCCAGGGCCAUUCUGAAUGGACAGAGGUCUUCACAAUGGAGGUGGAGAUGCAGGGAGCUCUAUGGCAUGAAAUGGUUAAUGAUUCUCUUUUGUAAUUGUGUUUUCUGUUUGCUGCCUUAGUUCUAAAAGGAGGCAAAACAACUGUGGUUUAUUCUACCUUUUCCAGGCAUAGUUCUUCUCCUACCUUUGUGAUCCCCAAAUUAAUAUCAAAUGUCUAAUUAGUUUUUUUCUCCAUUGGUGAUCCCCAAAUUAAUAUCAAAUGUCAGACAAAGUAAAUCAAAGUACAAAUAAAGGUAAAACUGCUCUUGCAAAGGGCUAAAAUAGCAAUGUUUACUAGAAGCAUUCAAGAGCCAGUUCAAUUUCCUAUUUCUCAUUAAGUGGUAAAAUAGUAAUGCCAAGACCACAUCCCAGAAUCUCCAGGGUAACAGAGGCCCAACGAAGGGCUGCAGAGAAACUUGAAAGUAAACUGGCUUAGUUCUUUACACACAGAAAUUGUUCUACAAAGAUCUCUUGCAAAGCAGUGUCACCAGUAGCAUCACUGCCACUAAGCCAAUGUCCCAGGAAUUGAGGAAAGGAAGACACCCUUAAAGAAAAAAAUGGAAAAAAGCCACAAGGACUGGUACCACAGUAAAUGUCUGCCUGGGUCUCCCUAAACUGUCUUAGGUGAGCUUACCCAGGAAUGUUUCUCCCCUACAUGUUUGCCUUCCUUUGUUUAAGCCUUUAUUCCUCCUAAAUGAAAAUAAAUACCCCCGACUGGGGAACGUGG